rnacentral:tRNA from 1 species
GCGCCCGUAGAUCAACUGGAUAGAUCGUUUGGCUACGGACCAAAAGGUUGGGAGUUCGAAUCUUCCCGGGCGCGCCA